CCUACGGGAGGCAGCAGUGGGGAAUAUUGCACAAUGGGGGAAACCCUGAUGCAGCCAUGCCGCGUGUGUGAAGAAGGCCUUCGGGUUGUAAAGCACUUUCAGUGGGGAGGAAAGGUGUGUGGCGAAUACCCGCGCACUGUGACGUUACCCACAGAAGAAGCACCGGCUAACUCCGUGCCAGCAGCCGCGGUAAU
rnacentral:rRNA from 1 species